rnacentral:rRNA from 1 species
AUUGAACGCUGGCGGCAGGCUUAACACAUGCAAGUCGAGCGGGGUGAUGGUGCUUGCACUAUCACUUAGCGGCGGACGGGUGAGUAAUGCUUAGGAAUCUGCCUAUUAGUGGGGGACAACAUCUCGAAAGGGAUGCUAAUACCGCAUACGUCCUACGGGAGAAAGCAGGGGAUCACUUGUGACCUUGCGCUAAUAGAUGAGCCUAAGUCGGAUUAGCUAGUUGGUGGGGUAAAGGCCUACCAAGGCGACGAUCUGUAGCGGGUCUGAGAGGAUCAUCCGCCACACUGGGACUGAGGCACGGCCCAGACUCCUACGGGAGGCAGCAGUGGGGAAUAUUGGACAAUGGGGGGAACCCUGAUCCAGCCAUGCCGCGUGUGUGAAGAAGGCCUUAUGGUUGUAAAGCACUUUAAGCGAGGAGGAGGCUCUUUUGGUUAAUACCCAAGAUGAGUGGACGUUACUCGCAGAAUAAGCACCGGCUAACUCUGUGCCAGCAGCCGCAGUAA